CGUACACUCCUACGGGAGGCAGCAGUGGGGAAUAUUGGACAAUGGGCGCAAGCCUGAUCCAGCCAUGCCGCGUGAGUGAUGAAGGCCCUAGGGUUGUAAAGCUCUUUCACCGGUGAAGAUAAUGACGGUAACCGGAGAAGAAGCCCCGGCUAACUUCGUGCCAGCAGCCGCGGUAAUACGAAGGGGGCUAGCGUUGUUCGGAUUUACUGGGCGUAAAGCGCACGUAGGCGGACUAUUAAGUCAGGGGUGAAAUCCCGGGGCUCAACCCCGGAACUGCCUUUGAUACUGGUAGUCUUGAGUUCGAGAGAGGUGAGUGGAAUUCCGAGUGUAGAGGUGAAAUUCGUAGAUAUUCGGAGGAACACCAGUGGCGAAGGCGGCUCACUGGCUCGAUACUGACGCUGAGGUGCGAAAGCGUGGGGAGCAAACAGGAUUAGAAACCCGUGUAGUCC
rnacentral:rRNA from 1 species